CUUUCGCCCCACCGCUCCCUGGAGCCCACUUCCGGGGGAAACUCAGCCCUUCUACACCACCGAUCCAGUGCGCUCUGCCUCCAUCCAAGCGCUACCGAGCCGGGCUGGUACCACUCAGAAGUAGGAGUGCUGGAUCAUAUGCUAAUUUUUCAUUUUCUGAGCCAUGUUUCUGUCAUGGAGGAAUCAUCCUACAUUCCCAUCAACUGUGUACAGGGCUCCCACUUCUCCACAUGGUCCUCAGCAAUUGUUCUGUCUGGGAAGUAGCCAACUUCAGUGGUGUGAGCUCCUAAGUGCCACCAAGCGUGCUAAGCUCUCAGCCUCUCCCUGUCCAGCACUCAACUGCCCACCUCCAAACCUGCUCUCCUGACAUCCCAGCCCAGUGGCAGGUGCACAGCUGGCUGGGGGCCCAAGAAGAACCUUGGACUCAAUUCCUUUUUCCCUCUGUCCUUCACGUUGGAGAAAAUCAGAAGCAGAAACAGAAAAAGAAGUCUAUGAAAUGCCAUUUUCAAGGGGUGAGCAGGGAUGGGCACAGCCAAGAGGAUCCGGUGAAAUUCCCUAAACUUACCAGGAAGCUGGUGGCUCGGGGUCAACUGACCUAGAAUGGGAAGAGGCCCAGCCAUUUUCUCCUUAGGUCCUGGCAAAUCUGCCCUCCUCGUCUGCCUCCCAGACUUCCAGCCUUGGCCCUUUGCUUCGAUGACAGGCCUCCCCUUCCCGCCCACGUGGACACUCCGAGCUUUUCCCAAGGCCUUCAUCUAGGCCGUCGUCUUGGCGGGGCACAAACCCUCAGUGCCACAUUGUCCUUGGGACGGAAUCAAAGCCGAAUCACCAGGCUACAAGUGCCUCCUCCCGUAUGGGCUUCCCCGUGCGGGUCUUUCUGAUGUGCCAGCCGGGAGAGAUACCCGUCAUGUUCCCAGGGAGCUCGGAGCUCACUCCACCUGCUUGCUCCAGGUACACCGGAUUCCACCUCUGGAGCGCCAAGCACCUGCCCGCGAGCCGCACAGGACAACCAACCCCCAAACUGAGAGCGCAGGAGUUCCCGCCCCGCCCCACCUCUGC